ensembl:snoRNA Gm22493 small nucleolar RNA SNORA17
GCUUCUCCUAGAAGCAUUGCAGGUAUGGCCACUGUGUUACAUGUUUAUCAGUAGGUGGCAGAGAGGAGAGAGGAUAUGUUUAUGCUUAGUAUUCUGACCUGUGAACAUCUGAUUGAUUAGUAGCCUAAGAUC